CCAUCCACAAAUUUUACUUGAAAUUAUAUCUAUAUAAACCCUAGAAUGACAGUCUAUUCAACUUAAACUGGACUCAUAUCAAGCAUCCUAUAUAGAGUAAGUUAAUAUAUGAAGCAUCCUAUAUCUAAAGCUUCGUUACAUGGUUGGACUGUGUAUAGCUUCCUCAUCCAGAUAAAUUGGGUAUUCUACAUGUAUCAGCCAUCCUAAUAUAUUCUUACUUCUUAGUUUUGAAAUAGUAAAAACAUGCAGCAGCAAAUAGAUAACUCUCACAUCGACUGUGAAUCACAAUAAAUUUGUACUUUUGCUUGAUUUUUCGAUACCAUUCAUUUUAUUAUUGCUCUUGUAAUAAGAAUACGUCGUUUAUCCCUAACGAAACACUGUUGCAAUAAUUUCAUUGUGAUUGAUUUAAUGACAGGAAACCACGAGAAUGGCUAGAAGGGUGAUGCUAGUGUUUGCUGUAAUGCUACUGGUGAUGAGCUCUUGUUUAACGAAAGCCGGGAAGCCACCUGUCAUGGACGAAAAGCAUGAGCUCGAGCAUGAGGAAGAGCAGCAGCAAAUGGUAACGAAGGAAAGUUGUCCUGAAUCUACGCAGGAUAAUUAUCACCAUUGCAUGGGCAUACCAGACUUCAACAGGCAUAACUAAUGACGUUAUUAGUAAAAGGUUCUGAUGAUAAAACUCCAAGAAUAUGUAUAUAUGUAGAUAUAUGGAUAUUUUGGUAAUGAAUAUGUAUAAUAUGAUAUGAUGUUUGAAUAAAACAGUGACUAUGGUUUUCCAAAUUAUAUAAUGGCAUGGGCUUGAAGAA
rnacentral:lncRNA from 1 species